rnacentral:rRNA from 1 species
GAUGAACGCUGGCGGCGUGCCUAAUACAUGCAAGUCGAGCGAACGGACGAGAAGCUUGCUUCUCUGAUGUUAGCGGCGGACGGGUGAGUAACACGUGGAUAACCUACCUAUAAGACUGGGAUAGCUUCGGGAAACCGUAGCUAAUACCGGAUAAUAUUUUGAACCGCAUUGUUCAAAAGUGAAAGACGGUAUUGCUGUCACUUAUAGAUGGAUCCGCGCUGCAUUAGCUAGUUGGUAAGGUAACGGCUUACCAAGGCAACGAUGCAUAGCCGACCUGAGAGGGGGAUCGGCCACACUGGAACUGAGACACGGUCCAGACUCCUACGGGAGGCAGAGGUAGGGAAUCUUCCGCAAUGGGCGAAAGCCUGACGGAGCAACGCCGCGUGAGUGAUGAAGGUCUUCGGAUCGUAAAACUCUGUUAUUAGGGAAGAACAUAUGUGUAAGUAACUGUGCACAUCUUGACGGUACCUAAUCAGAAAGCCACGGCUAACUACGUG